GUAAGUGGCAAGCGUUGUCCGGAAUUAUUGGGCGUAAAGCGCGCGCAGGUGGGUUCUUUAAGUCUGAUGUGAAAGCCCCCGGGCUCAACCGGGGAGGGUCAUUGGAAACUGGGGAACUUGAGUGCAGGAGAGGAAAGUGGAAUUCCACGUGUAGCGGUGAAAUGCGUAGAUAUGUGGAGGAACACCAGUGGCGAAGGCGACUUUCUGGCCUGUAACUGACACUGAGGCGCGAAAGCGUGGGGAGCAAACAGGAUUAGAUACCCUGGUAGUCCACGCCGUAAACGAUGAGUGCUAAGUGUUGGGGGGUUUCCGCCCCUCAGUGCUGCAGCUAACGCAUUAAGCACUCCGCCUGGGGAGUACGGUCGCAAGACUG
rnacentral:rRNA from 1 species